rnacentral:rRNA from 1 species
UACGGGGGGGGCAAGCGUUGUUCGGAAUUACUGGGCGUAAAGCGUCCGCAGGUGGCUGUGUAAGUCUGCUGUCAAAGAGCAAAGCUCAACUUUGUAAAGGCAGUGGAAACUACACGGCUAGAGUGCGUUCGGGGCAGAGGGAAUUCCUGGUGUAGCGGUGAAAUGCGUAGAGAUCAGGAAGAACACCGGUGGCGAAGGCGCUCUGCUAGGCCGCAACUGACACUGAGGGACGAAAGCUAGGGGAGCGAAUGGG